CUCUCUCCAAAUCGACAAGCCGCCGCCGGCAUCCCCUCCUUCCAAGCGCCGCCCCAUCCUUGCAGAGGAAAGAGGAGGCGCCGCGCAGCAGCCACCCUGGCGGCGCGACUGGCCUGAUUGCCGACGCCGCGUGCGUCGAUUCGACGGCGCGCGCGGCUCCGUCGAUCAAGCCGGUCUGCGUCGUGCGCGUGGACGAGGGAGCGCGGUGCGGUGCUGCACGCAGCCGCGGGGCCACCGGGAGGUCGGGCUGCUCGUCCCGGAUACGCCGCCGUCCAUGGGUUUGUCGACGUCGGAUUCAAAGGUUUUCGCCAUGGCCGGCAAGGGAAGCCCGGAGAGCCUACAGAACGAGUAUUACCACGUGAUCCGCUAGGCAAUCCGGUGUGAUUUGAUUCUGUUGAUGUUCAUUUCGGGUUUUGGGCGUUCCAUGGCAUUUGGCGCCAUGGCCAGAGGAAUCCCCCACCGCCGUCGCUCCAUUUCAACGCUCCCCCACCCUCUCCUCCGCAUCUCCAGCCGACGUGGGGAGCGGCAUGCCUCCAAUGAGAUAUGUCGGGAGCUGCAGCCAUCCUUGGGGAGUAGCUGGACAGCAGCAAGGUGUGCAGGUCACCGCCGUCUUCCAAGAAGAGCUUGCAGAAGCUAUCCCUUGGAUCAUCUACACUAGGGGCCUAGGAGGUCACGGCCAUUGUCGCCAAGAGAGUGCGCCGUGCCGGAGUGAAGUUUCAUGUCUAUCUUGCAAGAGCUAGCAACUGACCUUUCCAUAGCACUACUGUAUAUGCGAUACGCUACAGAUUAUUAAGCGAAACCAAUUAAGGUGUAAGGUUGAUAGGCCGCCGGCGGCUUCCCCCACCGCCCCUCCUCCCAAGCUACACCCCAUCCUCGCAGACGAUAGAGGAGGCGCCGUGCAUACAGCAGAAGCUAUGGUGGCGCGACUGGCCUGCUCGUCGACGAGCCGUGCGUUGAUUCGGCGUCGCCGCGUGGCUCCGUCGAUCACGCUGGUCUGCGCCGUGCACGUCAACGAGGGAGCACCACGCGGUGCUGCACGCAGCCGUGGGACACUGGCGACCAGGAGGUUGACCUGCUCAUCCCGGAGACGCCACCUUUCCAAGGGCUUGUCAGCGUCAGCUUCAAAGGGUUUCGCCAUGGCCGGCAAGCGCAGCCUGGAGAGUCUCCAAAACGAGUAGCAGCACAUGAUCCGCAAGAGCUGCCGGUGCUGGUCGUGGCUCGCCCUCUUGCCUAGCUACAUGUUGGAGUGGUGCAGCUAUUUGUUAAUUGAUGAGAGCGGUGGCCUUAGCCGGGUUGUCCUGCUACAGCGCGAGGAGCGACAGAAGGGCUAGAUCAACAUCCGCCACCCAUAGAUCAUCUAGGUGCAGGCAGGUUUUGGGAGAGGCUUCCAACGAGCAUCUUGUAGCAGCUGAAAAGGUCAAGGUCGUCUUGCUUUCAUUGAAAAUUCUCCCUGCUUGAAAUGCUCACUUCAGGUAGGUAAGCUACCAUUACCCGCUGCCAAACGAGCAAGCAAUAACAUGGUCCGUUAUUCUCGUUGAUUCAAAAUCAUGAUUACUUGAUGCAUGUAUGCUUGGAUAUGACCAGAAAGGCUUAUUCUUUCUUUUUUCUACAACAUUCCAUCUGUAAAAAAAUAUUGGAAACUCGUCAUGUAAGUUUGUUCGUAAAGUUUCAUUUUUUCUUGUUGUUGAUAUUUGUACAUAUAGGCAUUGCAUCUAGGAUGCUUUUGUUUCUUCAUUUGUUUGAUGCUUAGUUAGUUAUACAUAUGAAAUGCCAAAGCCUGCGUAUACAUUUUCAGGUUCAGAGCAUCAUACCGGUGUGCAUGCCGGCACCAUGGAUCUGGAGGCUGUUGGGGAAGCAUACCCGCUGCUGAAGUAGAAGAGGUAGGAGCUGUUGAGGAAGGGAGAAGGAAGAGCAGUCCCUGGACUACAAUGGUGCAGUCCUGCAUCAGCAAGUUCGUUCUGAUCGUAGGUACAUAUCCACUGUCUUGGCUGGACAUUGUAGCAGCAGUGCUGGUCCUCAAGGUUUGUGUGGUAUGCAUCUCGGUUACGACAGCUUGAUCUGCAAGGUUUUGCCUCAAAAGGGCAACAUGUAGUGCCUCCAGAAGGAGUACCACAUGAUCUGCAAGGAGCCGCCGUUGCUGAUCGUUGCUCACUCGCUUUCCUAGCGACAUAUUACAUGACAGGGUUCCAAUAAUUUGAGUGGCGUAGGUUGUUUCCACUGCUUGAUUGCACCUGUAUAUUUACGAUUUAGUGUCGCUUAGUUUGAUGGAAAGUAUUAUGUGCUUUGGAAGUGAGUAUUGUGAUUGGUGAUCCGGUAUUGUGCUAACCGUUGAUGGAAGUGUUAUUUAGGUCCUCUGUGUUCUCAUUGUUUCAGUAUAAUGCAUACUGCAUGAUGCAUACAUGGUUUGCUGGGAUUAGGAAUAUUCUUUGUAUUUAAUUAUCUUUGUUCAAAAUAUUGGAACCCUGUCAUGUAAUAUUUGGUUGAUAAAGGUUGCUUGUUUUGGGAGAAUAGCUCCAUUACUUUACAUUUCUCUACUUCUGGUUUAAAAAUAGCAUAAUAACAAAAAUUGGCUACUACUAGAUGAUAAAAUAAGUUUAUGUUUGAUUCGAACAUGAAACAAUGUACUCAAUGCCAAUCCUGUUUGAUCUAGUUUUUUGUUACUUGGUUCUUUUUGCCCUGAAUUAACAUAUGUUUAUCUCUUGCGAGUUGUGCUAUUCCUAGGAGAUUUCACGGGCUGCCUAAUCAUCCUAGCCACGGAUGGUGGUGUUGACUCAAUGUGUUUGGAGCUGGCAGCGAUGCUUUGCCCCUGUUCGAGGAUAAAUGACAAGGCAGCAGCUGGAGCGUUGAGGCUGAUGCAUCAAUUGACAAGGAAGAACACAGGGACAAGGAUACGUCAGCAUCAGGCAGCACCUAGCCUGUGAUGUAUAUAGUUGCAAAGCAUGUGUUUUGCUAUAAUAGCUGCUGUCCCAGGUUGCAUAAGCUGUGUUGUAUAAGCCUUUGGCUUUGUUUUAUUUCCUGUGUGAUGUGAGUGUGUAAAAGCUGGAAAGGCUUGGCACAGUUUCUUGCUGAUUAUAUUCACUUUAAUUUUUGAUUGUUUGA